AGUGAACGCUGGCGGUAGGCCUAACACAUGCAAGUCGAACGGCAGCACAGUAAGAGCUUGCUCUUACGGGUGGCGAGUGGCGGACGGGUGAGGAAUACAUCGGAAUCUACUUUUUCGUGGGGGAUAACGUAGGGAAACUUACGCUAAUACCGCAUACGACCUACGGGUGAAAGCAGGGGAUCUUCGGACCUUGCGCGAUUGAAUGAGCCGAUGUCGGAUUAGCUAGUUGGCGGGGUAAAGGCCCACCAAGGCGACGAUCCGUAGCUGGUCUGAGAGGAUGGUCAGCCACACUGUAACUGAGACACGGUCCAGACUCCUACGGGAGGCAGCAGUGGGGAAUAUUGGACAAUGGGCGCAAGCCUGAUCCAGCCAUACCGCGUGGGUGAAGAAGGCCUUCGGGUUGUAAAGCCCUUUUGUUGGGAAAGAAAAGCAGCAGGUUAAUACCCCGCUGUUCUGACGGUACCCAAAGAAUAAGCACCGGCUAACUUCGUG
rnacentral:rRNA from 1 species